rnacentral:rRNA from 1 species
GACAGAGGCCUCGAGCGUUAGGCGGAAUCACUGGGCUUAAAGCGCGUGUAGGCGGGCCGCCACGUCGGGCGCUGAAAUCCCCCGGCUCAACCGGAAGGACGGGCACCGAUACGAGCGGCCUGGAGGGGAGUAGGGGGACCUGGAACUUCCGGUGGAGCGGUGAAAUGCGUUGAGAUCGGAAGGAACGCCCGGUGGCGAAAGCGAGGUCCUGGGCUCCUGCU